rnacentral:rRNA from 1 species
AUGAGCCCAGCACCGAAGCCCGUUAAUAUUAUUAACGUGCAAUGUGGUGUUUAGGAGAACUCUUUACCAAUUUUUUUUAAUAAUAUUGUUCAAGUCCUUCUUGAAUGGGGCCACACUUCCAUAGAGGGUGCCAGGCCCGUAGAACUUUUAUACUAUAUUAUUGGUGAGUUUCUCCUUAGAGUCGAGUUGCUUGAGAGUGCAGCUCUAAGUAGGUGGUAAACUCCAUCUAAGGCUAAAUAUAACCACGAGACCGAUAGAUAACAAGUACCGUGAGGGAAAGUUGAAAAGAACUUUGAAGAGAGAGUUCAAAAGUACGUGAAACCGUUCAGAAAUAAACCUGUUAUAAUCCAAUAAUUUUAUUAUAUGCAGGGAGAUUCAACAUCUUGCCGAAUACAACAAAUCAAUAAUUAUAUUUAUAAUAUAUAUAUAUACAUAUAUAUUUAUAUAUGUGUAUAAAUAUAUAUAUACUUAUUUUGAGACGAUUCUGUAUAUUUCCAUAAAUUCACUCUAUAGUGUUUAUAUGGUUUAAAAAAUGUAUAGUUCGCUCGGUUUUUGAAUUUUAAUGUUGUAACGGAGUUGUGCAUUUCUUCCUGUAUAUCUUACGUUGCGACACGUUAUUGUAUCGUUUAAUAUUUUUUUUUUUUUUUAAUUAUUAAUAUUAUGGCUUGUAAUGGUAGACCGUGGCAUUAAGUUAAUUCAAAAUACUUAUAUGACCCGGACUUAUGAUGUAUAAUAUAUCCUAACGAUCUAUAUAACGUUAUAAAUUAUAUAAAAUAAUGUAUCAUAUAUAUAUGAAAAUGGAUAUCAUUUAUUUUUUGUCAGCAACGUAUUUUAUUUUAUAUGAGUAAUAACAGGACCCGUCUUGAAACACGGACCAAGGAGUCUAGCAUAUUUACAAGUCAUAGAGUUUUAUUUAAACUCUUAGGCGCAAUUAACGUAAAGUUUAUUAUUUUUUAUAAAUUUAAUAACAAGGGAAGAUGAUUAGAUAAUAUUUUAAAACUAGUCCGCAUUCCUAGGGCGUUCCAUAUAAAUUUUUUAAUAGAUUUUUUUUAUUAUAAAAUUUGGGGCGCACCAAGAGUAUAUAUGCUGGGACCCGAAAGAUGGUGAACUAUGCCUGGUCAGGAUGAAGUCC